CGGGGUAUGGCACAGUUGGUAGUGCGCUUCGUUCGGGACGAAGAGGUCGCCAGUUCGAAUCUGGCUACCCCGACCA
rnacentral:tRNA from 1 species